rnacentral:rRNA from 1 species
UACGUAGGGACCAAGCGUUGUUCGGAUUUACUGGGCGUAAAGGGCGCGUAGGCGGCAAUUCAAGUCAGCUGUGAAAUCUCCGGGCUUAACUUGGAACGGUCAGCUGAUACUGCUUUGCUAGAGUGCAGAAGGGGCAAUCGGAAUUCUUGGUGUAGCGGUGAAAUGCGUAGAUAUCAAGAGGAACACCUGAGGUGAAGACGGGUUGCUGGGCUGACACUGACGCUGAGGCGCGAAAGCUAGGGUAGCAAACGGG